rnacentral:tRNA from 1 species
CAAAACGUAGCUUAACCACCUAAAGCAUUCGGCUUACACCCGAAAGAUUUCGCANCAUCAGAACGUUUUGA